UUAGACAAUAGAGUAUUUUGAAAUAAAACCCAAGAGCGAAAUUAACGUGACUGUUAAUGGGAUUAUAUUUAUCCAUUAUAUAUUACAUAUAUGGAUAAAUUUCCAUCCCGGGGCGAUUUAUAAUUAAAAUUGCAAAAUUUUAUGAAAUCGUACCUUGAGCAUACAUGGUAGGACCCGAAAGAUGGUGAACUAUGCCUGAUCAGGUUGAAGUCAGGGGAAACCCUGAUGGAAGACCGAAGCAGUUCUGACGUGCAAAUCGAUUGUCAGAAUUGGGUAUAGGGGCGAAAGACCAAUCGAACCAUCUAGUA
rnacentral:rRNA from 1 species